AGCUUUAAAAACCAGACCAACCUGACAGUGAAGGGUCAGAGGAGUGAGAUUGUCUGGAGCACGGUUGCAUCUGCUUACAGGAGGAGCACUUGAACCUGGUAGAGAAAAUUGGCUGGAGAGGGGAAGCCCAGGUACAGUUGGUGAAAACAUCCUGGCAAUGGCAAUGGCCAGUGCUGGAAGCCAUGUGUGGGUGGGCUUCAUAGAGGCCCUUCCAGUGGUGGGCUCUGUGAAAGAGGCAGUGGAGUGGGUCUUGGCUGUGGCUGCAGAUGACUCAACUCUGGCCAAGGAGAAACUGGACGUCAUCAAUGGGAGGCUUAGAAAAGCAUAUUCAAGGAGUUCUUCAGAGUCUUCUGGGAGUUCAUCAGGAUAUUCCUCUCAGAGCACAUCUGGCCACUCAACACCAGUUGCGAAGAAAUCAUCUGGUCUGACUGCAAUGCAUGUGGAAAGUGUUGCCGAAAUUAACCUGAUGGCCCACAUAAGAGAAGUAAUGGGCAAGCAUGACAAGAAGAAAGGGCAACCAUCAGCAAAACUACGGCCAGCUCGCGCAAAUCAAUUGCAAAAGGUUCAAGAAGAGACAGAGAGAAAGAUCCGUCUAGUCAACCAAAAUUUUGAGUUCAGUGCUCCUCUUGGUGAUGAUGGUAAGAGGUCCAGAAGGGGUGAGCAUGUCAUCAAUAAUGGUGUCAUUACAUUUUACCAAAAAGCUGUAGAUGACUUCAUGAACGAACCAACCAACCUUGGCAUAGAUGGUCCCCUUGAUAGAGACACAGCAAAUGCCAUUAUGAAUGAGUUAGUGGUACAUUUUGAUGAAGAUGAACUGUAUAUCAAUGCUAAUGCACUGAUAUAUGGUGAAUACUGUCGGGUAUUGAAGACAGCUCUUGGAGAAUUCCUGACAGUGCUUAGGCAGGGUGGCAGGCGCCAGGAAGACAAGGAUAAUGCACAAAAUAAUGUGACUCACAUUAUACAGCACAUGAAUACGGAAGAGGCUUAUGUAGAUCCGUUUGCUAGGGGAAAAUGGAUUGGAAAUAACAGUCGGAAACUAAGCCAAUUUGAAAGGAUCAAAGUUGAGGUUGUGACCAUGUUCACCAACUGGACUCAAUAUUUUGACAUUGUUAGAGAUAAACUUAAUUUCCCUGCUGUAGGUACACUGGAAUUCGUCCAUUGUGGUUGACUUUAAUCAGUAACUUGUCUAUGGGUUCCCCCGGAAACUACGUCAGGUUUUACCUGUCAUAAAAAUGUAACCUGAUGCUUUUCUUAACCACGCCCACCUGAGCGUGGAUAAUAGCCGCAUCUCCCCAGAUGUGACUCUCUCUCUCUGUCGGCGCCCACCUGGCCAAGACCUCUCUUUCUCUCCGCUGGCCUUCCAGCCAGGCGCACCGUCUUGACCUCUCCUCAUCUCCAACACCGCUUGGAGCACACCGUCACACGGUGAAGAACUACUCUCUUUGUUCUCACGUCUUACGGCCGACACACGCCUAAGAUCUCUGUCAACGAACUGCUCAGUGAGACGCAGUAAGUUUAGCGAAAGCAGCUAACAACAGACCUGCUAGCUAACUCCACACAACGGGAACAAAAGGCAGACUGCAACGUUCUGAGCGAUCAAAUCCUCCGAUCUAAACUGCAGGGACACAGACAUCACAGCAAGGACAACUUUCUCCAUUUACGGACGGCAUCAUCUCUUUUCUGCCUCAUCCACGUCGGACCAGCUUUUCCCAAAGGACUGGUAACUCUGACAUUAACUGGGCAUUUAGCUAUCCUAGCUAUUCACAACCUGGCUAAGCAUAAGACCGUUUACAUGCCAUUGUUCAUGUGUUUCAUAUGUUUUGUUUACUGAACGUAACUGUUUAUAUAUAUGUUCAUUGUUAGCUGGUAGUUGGCUUCGCCACACCAUCUAAGGGUUAUCGUUAGGAUUGCUUCUCAGACACAUCGAGUCUUGCAUGCAUCACUAACCAUUUCCCUCUUUCCUAACAUGGCAUCUUAAUCGCGCACGAUUACACAUACAUUGGCCUUCACAUAGCCUCACACGCGAAGAGAAUACUCGAACUUCGCGCUGCAUAUAGGCUCGUCCUUGUUCAC
rnacentral:lncRNA from 1 species